rnacentral:rRNA from 1 species
UCCUACGGGAGGCAGCAGUGGGGAAUCUUGCGCAAUGGGCGAAAGCCUGACGCGGCAACGCCGCGUGCGGGAUGACGGCCUUCGUGGUUGUAAACCGCUUUCAGCAGGGACGAAAAUGACGGUACCUGCAGAAGAAGCCCCGGCUAACUACGUGCCAGCAGCCGCGGUAAUA